ACAUUUCGCUUACACCGAAAACAUGUCUGUUCAACUCAGAUCAUUUUGA
rnacentral:tRNA from 1 species